rnacentral:rRNA from 1 species
UACGGAGGGGGCUAGCGUUGUUCGGAAUUACUGGGCGUAAAGCGCACGUAGGCGGCUUUGUAAGUUAGAGGUGAAAGCCCGGAGCUCAACUCCGGAAUUGCCUUUAAGACUGCAUCGCUAGAAUUGUGGAGAGGUAAGUGGAAUUCCGAGUGUAGAGGUGAAAUUCGUAGAUAUUCGGAAGAACACCAGUGGCGAAGGACGACUUACUGGACACAUAUUGACGCUGAGGUGCGAAAGCGUGGGGAGCAAACAGG